rnacentral:rRNA from 1 species
AAAUUGAAGAGUUUGAUCAUGGCUCAGAUUGAACGCUGGCGGCAGGCCUAACACAUGCAAGUCGAACGGUAACAGGAAGCAGCUUGCUGCUUUGCUGACGAGUGGCGGACGGGUGAGUAAUGUCUGGGAAACUGCCUGAUGGAGGGGGAUAACUACUGGAAACGGUGGCUAAUACCGCAUAACGUCGCAAGACCAAAGAGGGGGACCUUCGGGCCUCUUGCCAUCAGAUGUGCCCAGAUGGGAUUAGCUAGUUGGUGAGGUAACGGCUCACCAAGGCGACGAUCCCUAGCUGGUCUGAGAGGAUGACCAGCCACACUGGAACUGAGACACGGUCCAGACUCCUACGGGAGGCAGCAGUGGGGAAUAUUGCACAAUGGGCGCAAGCCUGAUGCAGCCAUGCCGCGUGUAUGAAGAAGGCCUUCGGGUUGUAAAGUACUUUCAGCGGGGAGGAAGGUGUUGUGGUUAAUAACCGCAGCAAUUGACGUUACCCGCAGAAGAAGCACCGGCUAACUCCGUGCCAGCAGCCGCGGUAAUACGGAGGGUGCAAGCGUUAAUCGGAAUUACUGGGCGUAAAGCGCACGCAGGCGGUCUGUCAAGUCGGAUGUGAAAUCCCCGGGCUCAACCUGGGAACUGCAUUCGAAACUGGCAGGCUUGAGUCUUGUAGAGGGGGGUAGAAUUCCAGGUGUAGCGGUGAAAUGCGUAGAGAUCUGGAGGAAUACCGGUGGCGAAGGCGGCCCCCUGGACAAAGACUGACGCUCAGGUGCGAAAGCGUGGGGAGCAAACAGGAUUAGAUACCCUGGUAGUCCACGCCGUAAACGAUGUCUACUUGGAGGUUGUGCCCUUGAGGCGUGGCUUCCGGAGCUAACGCGUUAAGUAGACCGCCUGGGGAGUACGGCCGCAAGGUUAAAACUCAAAUGAAUUGACGGGGGCCCGCACAAGCGGUGGAGCAUGUGGUUUAAUUCGAUGCAACGCGAAGAACCUUACCUGGUCUUGACAUCCACAGAAGAAUCCAGAGAUGGAUUUGUGCCUUCGGGAACUGUGAGACAGGUGCUGCAUGGCUGUCGUCAGCUCGUGUUGUGAAAUGUUGGGUUAAGUCCCGCAACGAGCGCAACCCUUAUCCUUUGUUGCCAGCGAUUAGGUCGGGAACUCAAAGGAGACUGCCAGUGAUAAACUGGAGGAAGGUGGGGAUGACGUCAAGUCAUCAUGGCCCUUACGACCAGGGCUACACACGUGCUACAAUGGCGCAUACAAAGAGAAGCGACCUCGCGAGAGCAAGCGGACCUCAUAAAGUGCGUCGUAGUCCGGAUUGGAGUCUGCAACUCGACUCCAUGAAGUCGGAAUCGCUAGUAAUCGUGGAUCAGAAUGCCACGGUGAAUACGUUCCCGGGCCUUGUACACACCGCCCGUCACACCAUGGGAGUGGGUUGCAAAAGAAGUAGGUAGCUUAACCUUCGGGAGGGCGCUUACCACUUUGUGAUUCAUGACUGGGGUGAAGUCGUAACAAGGUAACCGUAGGGGAACCUGCGGUUGGAUCACCUCCUUACCUGAAAGAA